rfam:[Clostridium] neopropionicum strain DSM-3847 CLNEO_contig000005, whole genome shotgun sequence.
AACAGCGAAGAUAAAAACACAGAUCCGGUUGGUAGUCCGGACGCAGCGGUAGCUGUCAGUAACCUGCCUCCUUGGUUGUCCGUUCUUUGUUAUGAAUGA